AUCAACCAAUAAAAUUAUUUAUAAUACCAGGUAUAAAAGAUGACAUCGAGUUUCAAUCUAAAACGAGAAAAGAAAUUGGCGCUAUACGUUGGUUUAAUAUACAAAAAGUAUUAGAAUAUCGAAAUUUAAAAAGACAAAAAAAAAAAACAAGUCAAAAUUUUUUGUUUGACAAUAAAAAAGAACGUAUAAAUGGUAUUAUUGUUUUUCCAUUUUUACGUAAUAUAUUAAAAUGGAUAGACAUAUUUAAAAAAAAUGUGAAUGAUAAUAUUUUAAAAAAUGAUAAUCAUGAAGCAGCAAGUAAUAUAGUUGCCUAUAAAUACCAAAUUACAGGAAUUGAUCCGAUGACUAUUAAAAGUGUACAAUUUAUUGAUAGAUCGUGGAAAAAUGAUCUUAAAAAAGAAGAUGAUAUAAAAAGCUAUUGUUAUUUUUAUGAGGGGGGUAAUGACGGUAAUGACGGUAAUGACGAGAGUGUUGAUAUAAACGAUGAUAAAUAUUACUAUGAUGAUGAAUAUGAAGAAAUAAAAGAAUAUUAUGAAAAUACAGUUACAGAUAUAUAUGAGAAUGAUAAUGCUACGAACGUUAUCGAAAACACAGUUACUACUACUACUACUACUAAUAAUGUCGACAAUAGUUCUAUUACUAAAGCCAUUAUUAGUCCUACUGGUACAGACACUUCUGAUAAUAUUGAAAGAACAAUUAAUGAAAAUAGCAUAAACAAGAAACCGAAAUUUAUUGAUGGUCCUGAUUUUUGUAAUACAAAAAUGAAUGAAAAAGAGAAAAAGAACAAUAACCAUGUAAAUACAGCAAUAGCACAUAAUUUGAAGCAAAAUAAUGGUGUUACUACUUUAAAUGUUAAAGAGAAACAUGGAGUUAAUUCUGGUAGUAGUCGUAGUCGUAGCAGCAGUAGCAGUAGUAAUGGCAAUAAUACUAAUCGUGUAUCGGUGUGUCCUACUAACAAUGUUUUAUUUGGUAUGAAUAAUGAUAUGACCAAAAACAUGCAUAACACAUACAGUGGAAUAAACCAAAAUACAAACACGUUAAUGGAGAAAACUGUUGUUCAUGAGAAGGAAAAUAUUUCAGAAGUAAUAGUAAACGAAAAUAAUAUAGAAAAAACGAAUACUGUGAAUAUAACAAAUUUAAUUUUAUCUAAAAAAAACGGUUUUAUAAAAAAUAAUUUGUUUAUUAAUAAUAUUCUGAGUAAACAAGAUGUUAUAUGUAAUGAAAAAGAAAUUGAUGAAGAAAUAAAAAAAAAAAAAAAAAUUAAGGAUAAUACAAUAAGUUAUAAUAAUAUACCUGAUAAGGUUAUAAAUGCGAGUAUGGAAAAUGGUUCUAUUGAAACAACUGGAGUUUACAAAUAUGAACACAAUUUGGAAAAUAAUUAUGAUGGAAAGGAUUGUAGUUACAACUAUAAAAAAUGUGAUUUGAAUAAAAGUGGUAGUCACAGCAAAAGCCCUGACAGUAGCAAUAAUACGAAUGACAAAAAAAAUGACAGCACAUAUAACAGUAAGCUAUUAAAAUACAAUAGCAAAGUCAACCUGUAUAAUAACACAGAAUUUAAUAAAAAUAUGAUAAUAAAUAAUCGAGAGUUUGAUAUAUAUGAUAACAGGUUUGCAUAUAAUUUGCACAAAACGAGAACAGGACAAUUUUCAGCUUUAAGACUAAAAGAAGUAGGAGUGAAAAGUUUCGAUGAUCAAGAUUUUGAUAAAAGAAAAAAGUUUCAUUUACGUUUUUAUGGAAAUACAAAUCGGGUUAUGAAUCCGAACAGAUAUAAUAUACCAAAACAUAAAAAAGUUUUUAUGAAACAAUCUUAUCCAUCAUUAGAUGACACAUCAUUAUAUUAUGCAUUAAUAAAAAGUAAAACAUUAGAUGCACAUAACAAUCAAACAUUUGGAUUAAAUCAUGCAACUGGUUGGAGUGUAGAAGAUAUGUUUAAAAUAAAUAAAGAGAAGUAUGGUGUUUAUUCAACUUAUGAUAUUGAACAUUAUACAACUCCAUUGGUAUAUAAUAAUGAAAGUAGUAAUGUUUCUAUGCUUCACAAUAGUACCAUAAAUAAAAAUAACUUUACUUACGGGUGUACACAUAAUAAAGUGAGUACUACUAAUAUUGGUUGCAAAAAUGGUAAUGACAGUAGCAACGCGAUUGUUAAAAAUAUAACUACAGAUUCUAUGGAUGAUGUUACUAGUAAUACUAUCGGUAAUGGCAUCGGUAACGGUAUCGGUAAUGGCAUCGGUAAUGGUAUCGGUAACACUGUAGGUAGUGUUACCACCAAUGCUACCACCAAUGCUACCACCAAUGCUACUACCAAUGCUACCACCAGUGCUACCACAAAUGCUACCACAAAUGCCACCACAAAUGCCACCACAAAUGCUACCGCCAGUACCACCCCCAGUGGCACCGCUAAUGCUACGAGUGACACACAACCAAGUUCCAACAAAACGAUUGAAAACGAAGAAAAGAUAAAAAUCGAGCGCGAAGAGGAACUAAAAAAAAAAAUUAUUUGGCUUAUAAUGGAUAUAGCACCAAAUAUGUCUAAUGAACAAACAGAAGUAAAGGAUAAAGCAAUUUUAAAAAUAAAUGCUUCUGAAAAUACAAAUAAAAAUGGUAAUAAUAAUAUAGAGGGGGAAAGUAGCACAUCUAAUAGUAACAAUGAAAAUGGUCCUAGAACGGACACAAGUGAUGUUAACAAUGUAACCGAUUUGAAUAAUAAGAAGAAAAUGAAUCAAAUUAUAACUAAUAAAGUGAAGUUAAAAAAUGAUAGUAACAACAGAAACAAUCUUUGUAGUAAUGUUAAUGUUACUAAUUUAAAUAAAAAGAAUGGUCGCACGUGCGCUAGUGAGUUAGAACAUAUAGUAGCAGAUACUGCUAUUGUAGGGCAUGGUGAGAGUAAAGAAAAUGGUGACCAUAUAGGUAAUAGUAGUAUUAUUCAUACUGGUAAUAGUAGUAGCGCUUAUAAUAAUGCUAGUAAUAGUACUAGCAACAGACGUAAUGGUGUAAAAAACAAUAAACAUACAGAAAGUAUGAAUGAAAAAAAUAAUAAAGAAAAAUAUAAUAACAAUAUGGUAAACAACUUAUUGCAUAAUAAACCGAGUAAUUCUUUGAAUGAAGGUAUAAGUACGAGUGUAAAUGAUACCAAAGAGUCACAUACGGAUUCAAUUACGUGUGGACAAAAAAAAAAAAGUCCGAAUGAUUUAAAAAGUAGUAUGAACGGUCAUUUGUUUAAUAACAAUAGCAAUAGUAGCAACGAUGAUAGUAAUGAUAGUAAGGAAGGGAAAUUUUAUACGAAUUUAAUGAAUUUGAAAACAUUUUUAAAAAAACGAGCUAGUAGAUAUAAUAAUGUAAAAGAUGAUAUUAAUAUAGAAAGCGAAACUGAUAUUGUUUCGGGCAUGAAUUAUAUGAUAGAAGGUAAAAACAAAAAUAUACUCGAAGAGAUAAAUAAAUUGGAUUUAAAAAAGGAAAAGGAUGCUACAGUGGGAAACUUAAAUGGUAACGCAGUAGUUAAUAAUUUAGACAAUAAUAUAUUAAUGAAUAAUCAUACCAAUGCGAACCUGAGGAAUAGCCAACAAAUAAAAAAAAAUAGUAUUACACUGUUGCAAAGAAAUAAAAUUAUGAGUGCUUCAAAUAAAGCUAAAAAUGAAAUAGAAUCAAAUAGACAAAGGUUAAAAGGUGUGAGUGAAAACAUAACAUCAGAUGCUAGUGAUGUAAAUAAUAAUGUAAAUAAUAAUAAUGUUCUAUAACAAUGUUAAUAACAACAGUGUAAAUAACAACAGUGUAAAUAACAACAGUGUAAAUAACAACAGUGUUAAUAAUAAUGAUGAAGUAGGAACAACACUUAUUUGACCUAAUUAAUAGAAAAAAUCAUAAGGACAUAAAAAAAAAGGGCAAAAAAUGGCAGAUUCUUCAAACACUAUCAAAUAAAGUUAUGCUAUUAAAAAAUAAAGUAAAAUCA
ensembl:lncRNA